GGAAGGAUCAUUGGAUGUUGAUGAGAGAAGGGGGUUGGAAUGAGAUGAGAAAAAACAAACUACUACUAAAUAUACUUAUACAACUGCUGACAACGGAUCUCUGGGCUCUUGCGUCGAUGAAGAACGCAGCAAAACGCGAAAUGUGUUAUGAUGUGCAGUCUUUGUGAAUCAUGAAUCUUUGAACGCACCUUGCACCAGGCACGCACGUGUCUGGUAUGCCUGUUUGAGUGAGGGGACGAAAUGUACGACUAGUAUAUAAUGGAGCGUAGCCACGGCUUGCUCUGAAAGACUGAUAGUGGUUGAUCGGGAUAAUCAUCGAGCACCCUUUUACUAGUUAUCCUCCUCAAAUCAGGCAAGAACACCCGCUGAACUUAAGCAUAUCAGUAAGCGGAGGAAAAGAAACUAACCAGGAUUCCUGCAGUAACGGCGAGUGAAGAGGGAACAGCUCACAUUUGGAAACAAUUACCAGCUGGUAAUUGUGUUGUCAGUGAUAGCAUGGGAGCGCUGAGGAGACACGUGUGCGAGUCUGCUGGAACGCAGCGCCAGAGCGGGUGACAGCCCCAUGGCACACGUGUCUUUAACUAGUGCUUUCAUGCGACGAGUCGGACUGUUUGGGAAUGCAGUCCUAAAUGGGUGAUACGUGUCAUCUAAAGCUAAAUAGCGGCAAGAGACCGAUAGCGAACAAGUACCGUGAGGGAAAGAUGAAAAGAACUCUUGGCAGAGAGUGAAAAGUGCGUGAAAUUGUCAGCAGGGAAGCGAGGGUGGUGCAGCGUUGAAAAGAGUGUUGCGCAAGCAAUACUCUUGUAAGACAAGCGUGAGGCUGUGGGCGGUGGUGGAGACAUGGGACGAGAGACUGCGUUUACGCGUGGGGUCUUGUUCUGUAAACACUGUCACCCACUCCCCUCACUCAAAUCACCACCCCCGACCCGUCUUGAAACACGGACCAAGGAGUGUAGCCAUGAUGCGAGUUGGAGAGGAAGACCCUCUUUGGCGCAACGAAAGUGAUGCCCUGGGACACCAGUCAAGGUGACACCAGGCUGCGAUGCGCACCGCACGUGCGUGUUGACAGGCAGCAUGAUGGGUACGACCCGAAAGAUGGUGAACUAUGCCUGGCUAGGGCAAAGGCAGAGGAAACUCUGGUGGAGGCUCGUAGUGGUUCUGACGCGCAAAUCGAUCAUCGGAGCUGGGUAUAGGGGCGAAAGACUAAUCGAACCAUCUAGUAGCUGGUUCCCUC
rnacentral:misc_RNA from 1 species